rnacentral:tRNA from 1 species
GUCGUUGUAGUAUAGUGGUAAGUAUUCCCGCCUGUCACGGGGGUGACCGACCCGGGUUCGACCCGGCAACGGCG